UACGUAGGGUGCGAGCGUUGUCCGGAAUUAUUGGGCGUAAAGAGCUUGUAGGCGGUCUGUCGCGUCUGCUGUGAAAAUCCGGGGCUCAACCCCGGACUUGCAGUGGGUACGGGCAGACUAGAGUGUGGUAGGGGAGACUGGAAUUCCUGGUGUAGCGGUGAAAUGCGCAGAUAUCAGGAGGAACACCGGUGGCGAAGGCGGUGCUCUGGGCCAGUACUGACGCUGAGGAGCGAAAGCGUGGGUAGCAAACAGG
rnacentral:rRNA from 1 species